rnacentral:misc_RNA from 1 species
AAGUCGUAACAAGGUUUCCGUAGGUGAACCUGCGGAAGGAUCAUUAAUGAAACUUCAAAGUCGGCUUGUCUUUUCUCUGUUGCUGGUGGAGACACAUGUGCACGGGAGAAGCUAGUCGCAAAUCCACACACCUGUGCAUCUUAUGACUCGGAGUCCGCCGCUUUGCAUGGGCCCUUUAGUGGGCCUUGGCGACUUGAGUACUUUUACACACUCUUGAAUGUAAUGGAAUGUCUAUUGUGCACAAUGUACAACUAAAACAACUUUCAACAACGGAUCUCUUGGCUCUC